GAAAUGCGAUAACUAGUGUGAAUUGCAGAAUUCCGUGAAUCAUCGAGUCUUUGAACGCAGAUUGCGCCCCCUGGUAUUCCGGGGGGCAUGUCUGUCCGAGCGUCAUUGCUGCCCAUCAAGCACGGCUUGUGUGUUGGGUCGUCGUCCCCUCUCCGGGGGGGACGGGCCCCAAAGGCAGCGGCGGCACCGCGUCCGAUCCUCGAGCGUAUGGGGCUUUGUCACCCGCUCUGUAGGCCCGGCCGGCGCUUGCCGAACGCAAAUCAAUCUUUUUCCAGGUUGACCUCGGAUCAGGUAGGGAUACCCGCUGAACUUAAGC
rnacentral:misc_RNA from 1 species